rnacentral:lncRNA from 10 species
AGUCUGCUUCUGUAAAGGCCUGGACUGCCACCCUGCUGGAUGCAGACAGGAUGCAAAGUGGCCACAGAUAUCUCAGUGGCAGCUCAAUAACUUGGAGGAGAUACUCUGCAAGGGCCUAAAUUCUUAGCCCCUGGGGAGACUUAGUCCGUCUUGGUCAUCACCCUGUGCCCCGGAGCAGGGUCUGACUUACAGGAGGGGCUCAAAAAUAUUCGUUGAUCAAUAAGAAGUAUUAAGAAAAUGUCUCCUAAAUUGACAGGAGAUGGUGCAAUAACAUGGACCCUGUACAGCCUUCUUCCCUGGGUUCCCUCUUGAAGUACACUUUCUCAGGUGGCUGAGGACACAGAGGCACAGGGAAGCAGGUGGCCUUCCCAGGUCUCCCUGCAAUGAUGGGUCUCUACGGCCAAUCCAUUAGGAUCGCUAGGCCGUUUUUUAGAGGAGGUGAUUUUGCCCCCUGCCGUGUCCAUCCACAACUUAGAGCUUGACCACUGUCACUUACAAAAUGCCAGCACAGCCAUCUUCACCGACAAUUUUUUGCCCUCCCUCUUGAUGAGGACUUGUAUAAGUUCCUAGAAAAAGUGGCAGCC